GCCUUCGUGGUGUAAUGGUAGUACGCUCGGCGCGUAUUUGAGAGGUUCAGGUUCGAGUCCUGGCAAGGGCA
rnacentral:tRNA from 1 species